rnacentral:rRNA from 1 species
UACAGAGGGGGCAAGCGUUGUUCGGAAUUACUGGGCGUAAAGGGCGCGUAGGCGGCCUUCUAAGUCGAACGUGAAAUCCCCGGGCUCAACCCGGGAACUGCGUCCGAUACUGGAAGGCUUGAAUCCGGGAGAGGGAUGUGGAAUUCCAGGUGUAGCGGUGAAAUGCGUAGAUAUCUGGAGGAACACCGGUGGCGAAGGCGACAUCCUGGACCGGUAUUGACGCUG